AACGAACGCUGGCGGCAUGCCUAACACAUGCAAGUCGAACGAUGGUCUUCGGAUCAUAGUGGCGCACGGGUGCGUAACGCGUGGGAAUCUGCCCUUGGGUUCGGAAUAACAGUUGGAAACGACUGCUAAUACCGGAUGAUGUCGAUAAGACCAAAGAUUUAUCGCCCGAGGAUGAGCCCGCGUCGGAUUAGCUAGUUGGUGGGGUAAAGGCCUACCAAGGCGACGAUCCGUAGCUGGUCUGAGAGGAUGAUCAGCCACACUGGGACUGAGACACGGCCCAGACUCCUACGGGAGGCAGCAGUGGGGAAUAUUGGACAAGGGGCGCAAGCCUGAUCCAGCAAUGCCGCGUGAGUGAUGAAGGCCUUAGGGUUGUAAAGCUCUUUUACCCGGGAAGAUAAUGACUGUACCGGGAGAAUAAGCCCCGGCUAACUCCGUG
rnacentral:rRNA from 1 species